AAAGGUCACGAAAGUCAUACUAAUUUGUGAAAAAAAAGUCAUUAAAUUGUGAAGAGAUAACUUGGCCAAUUUGAGGUAACUUGAUUCAGUUAAUCAUGAUCUCUCAAUAAGAAUUCAUGUACAGCCAUAUUUUUAAUGCUGGUAACCUUUGAAAGAGAUCUGAAAAGCCAUCUAUUGAAUUAUGGCCAAGUAUACUCUGUGCUGUGAGUUCCAGAUCUAGAGCAGACGUGGCCUGUUGACUUUCGGCCCUAAGCUAAGCUGAGCUUUAUUUUGUUGUUCCGUGGGAGAAACUGAAUGGGAAAUGGAAUUACCACUGGGAAAAUGCUGUUCUUUACCCACGAGUGAUGGAUUACUUUUUCUAUAUGUGAGCAAACUGCUGAGGAAUGGACCGUACUCCCUGAAAAACAAUAGCCAAGCCAUCUCUUAACAUAAUAAUAUCUGCUCAAGGCAUCUGUAAUGCAGUCAGAAAAAAUAGAUACGUGCUUGAUACGCUAUGUCACUUUAUAGGGGUAGUUUUUCUCCCAUUUGCUUUGGUUUGGUUCAUGCCUAGAUAGCCUAAGAAUCCAAGAAGUAUGGAGCUUGAAAUGGCACCUAGACUUCAUAUCUUUAUUUAUGCUGUGCCUCAUUCCACAAAGAAUGUAACCAAUUUAGGAUUCUUAUAGCUAAGCUACUUACUUAAGGGAUCUAGAAACUGAGGCUCUGAGAAGUGGUUUCCCCAAAGUCCCUCUGUUAGUUAGUGGAAGGGCUGGAACCGAGACUCCUACAUUUCUGUCUCCUUGUUGAGGAGAGUUGUCAUUACAUCCCAACCCAGCCCACCCCACCAUUCAUUCAUUGUUAUUUCAAUAACUAUGUUAAGAACAAACACUUGCCAAGCACUGUGUUAGUGUAAUAGGAAAUAGGAUGGACAUGAGUCCUGUCCUCAGAGGACAGCUUAUCAUCUAGAGAGAAGUUCAGAUUUGGAGCAAAUGUUCACACAAAUCAGUUAGGUAAAAUAUGAAAGAAAUAGACCUAUAACAGCAAUCGUUGUCUAGGGCGCUAUGAGUAUAUUAAGAAGGUCCUAGAAGGCUUGUUCUAGGAAAUGAUGUUUAUGAUGAGCUAUAAAGGAGAAAUAAGAGUAAAUCAGCCAAAGGAUUUGUUAAGUAGAGUAGAAGAGAAUGGAGUAAGGGAAGACCCUGAGGUGGGUAGAUCUCCGUUCAGCUGAGAAGUGGAAAGAAAGCCUGUGCAGCUGGGCUGGGGAUGGUGGAUCACCUGAGGUCAAGAGUUCAAGACCAGCCUGGCCAACAUAGUGAAAUCCAGUCUCUACUAAAAAUACAAAAAUUAGCCGGGUAUGGUGGCAUGCACCUGUAGUCCCAGCUACUCGGGGAAGCUGAGGCAAAAGAAUUGCUUAAACCCAGAAAUGAGAGGUUGCAGUGAGCCAAGACAGUGCCACUGCAUAUCCCAGUACCACUGGGCAACAGAGUGAGACUCUGUCUCAAAAAAAAAGCAAAAACAGCCUGUGCAGCUGGACUGGGGCAUAGUGAGCAAGGGAAAAAAGCACUAGAGGGGGCCAGACAUGGGGGCUAGAACCUCAGAGCCUCUUCAUUGACUUUGCACUUGAUCCUAAGUGCCUUAAGAAGCCAUAAGAAGGGGUUAGAAAUAUGAUCAGUUUUAUGUGUUAGGAUCUUAACUUUGCUGGGUGAAGAAUGGGAUGUAACUGGGUUGCUUUUACAUUAAUGCAGGUGAGAAAUGAUGAUGGCUUAUAGAAAUAGGAUCGGAUGAAAGAUCCAAGAUAUGUUUUGAAGGUAAAAUCAAUGAGACGUGCUGGUUGGAAGUACAGAUGAGGGAAGAGAAUUUUCAAGAAUGACCUCUGGUUCCUGGUUGAACAGCUGGACAGAUAUUGUUGACAUUUACUCAGGUGGAGAGAAUUGGCUGUGGAACCAUAUGGUGAUUGAGUGGGAUAAAAAGCUCUAUUUUAUUUGAGAUGCUUGUAAGACAUCUAGUGGAGACAUAAAGUAAGAAUUGGGUAUGCAGGUUCUAAGCUCAAAAGAUUUAGGCUAAAUAUGUGAAUUUGGAAGACAUCCAUAUAUAGACUAGUCUUUGAAUUUAAGGGAAGGUAAUAAUUCACCUAGUUAGAGGUAAUUGAACUCACAUUGGAAAGGAAGGAUAGGUGGGGUAUAAAUUAAAUAAAGAGCACAAAAAUUAGCCAGAUGGUGGCCCAUAUCUGUAAUUCCAGCUACUCUGGAGGCUGAGACAGGAGAAUCACUUGAACUCAGGAAGUGGAGGCUACAGUGAGCUGAGAUUGUGCCAUUGCACUCCAUCCUGGGUGACAGUGAGACUCCAUCUUAAAAAAAAAAAUGAAAGAAGAAGGAAGAAAGGGAGGGAGGAAGGAAAAAAAAAAAGAGAAAGGCAUUUCAAGAAAAGGCAGUGAUCUGUGACUUUUAAGCUCAUCACCCUGUAAUGGAUCUUAAAGCAUUCCCCAAAGAUAGCAUGCUUUGAGUAGAAUGCACUACUCCAGGGCAAUCUGUAAAGAAACAUGUACUUGAGGGGUGUGUGUUAUCGGAUGAAUCACCCCGUAUUGCAGACUGGCAACAAGAAGAUGCUACUGUGCGUCACACUUAAGAGGGAACUUAGUAGAGAGCAAAAGCUAUUUGAUAACAAUGACUCCAGUUAUGCUGAUGGACCAGGAAGCCCUGAAUCCAUAAAGGCAUACCUUAAACAAGCUCCACCUUCCAAAGGACCUACGGUUUACACAAAAAAGGUAGGGGAAAAUGAAGCUGUCUUAGAGUGGGACCAAAUUCCUGUUGAUGUUCAGAAUGGAUUUAUCAGAAAGGAUACUAUAUUUUAUAGAACCAUCAUUGGAAAUGAAACUGCUAUGAAUGUGGAUUCUUCCCACACAGAACAUACAUUGUCCUCUUUGAGUAGUGACACAUUGUACCUGGUACGAAUGACAGCAUACACAGAUGAAGGUGGGAAGGAUGGUCCAGAAUUCACUUUUACUACACCAAAGUUUGCUCAAGGAGAAGUUGGAGCCAUAGUCAUGCCUGUUUGUUUAGCAUUCGUCGUGACAACUCUUCUGGGAGUGUUGUUCUGCUUUAAUAAGGGAGACUAAUUAAAAAACACAUCUAGCCUAAUGUUCCAGAUCUUUCAAAGAGUCAUAUUGCCCAGGGGUUACCUCACACUCCUCCAAGGCACAAUUUUAAUUCAAAAGAUCAAAUGUAUUCAGAUGGCAAUUUCACUGAUGUAAGUGUUGUGGAAAUAUAAGUGAAUGACAAAAAGCCUUUUCUGGAAGAUCUAAAAUCACUGGACCUGUUCAAAAAGGAAAAAAUUAAUACUGAGCCGGGUGCGGUGGCUCACACCUGUAAUCCCAGCACUUUGGGAGGCCGAGGCGGGUGGAUCACGAGGUCAAGAGAUCGAGACCAUCCUAGUCAACAUGGUGAAACCCCAUCUCUACAAAAAAUACAAAAAUGAGCUGGGCAUGGUGGCGUGUGCCUGUAAUCCCAGCUACUCAAGAGGCUGAGGCAGGAGAAUUGCUUGAACCCAGGAGGCGGAGGUUGUUGAGCCGAGAUCGCGCCAUUGCACUCCAGCCUGGGAAACAAGAGCGAAACUCCGUCUCAAAAAAAAAUUAAUACUGAAGGACACAACAGUGGUAUUGGGGGGUCAUCAUGCAUGUCAUUUUCUAGGCCAAGUAUUUCUACCAGUGAUGAAAAUGAAUCUUCACAAAACACUUGAAGCACUGUCCAGUAGUCUACUAUGGUACACAGUGGCUGCAGACACCAAGUUCCAUCAGUCAAGGUCUUCUCAAGAUCUGAGUCCACCCAGCCCUUGCUAGAUUCAGAGGAGCGGCCAGAAGAUCUACAAUUAGUAGGUCAUAUAGAUGGUGGUGGUGGCAUUUUGCCCAGGCAGCAGUACUUCAAACAGAACUGCAGGCAGCAUGAAUCCAGUCCAGACAGUUCAUAUUUUGAAAGGUCAAAGCAAGUUUUAUCAGUCAAUAAGGAGAUUCUCUUAGAUUUAAACAACAGAUUUCAGAUCAUAUUUUACAAUCCUGGAGAUCCGGACAAGAGAAAAUGUUUAAGGAAGUUUCUGCCCAGAUUCUUUUGGUCCAGAUACUGAGGGACAAGUAGAAAGAUUUGAAACAGUCAGGAUACAGCCUGUGAUUGGUGAAGGAAUGGCUAAAAGUCACUUAGCACAGCCUGUACGGCAAGGCAGCUGCAUGCCUCAGUGAAGGACUAGCAGUUCCUGUUACACUUCAGCCGUACCUAUAAAGUAAAGCUAAAAUUAUUUUAUCUGCGAACUCAGAUUUUAAAAAGUCUCUACUCUCUGAAGAUGAUCAUUUACCCUUAAGGACAAAAAUGAACUGAACUCUCACAUGAGCUAUUUCCAUUCCAGAAUAUCUGGGAUUCCACUUGAAGCACUACAUAAACUCACUUUAUCCUCAGACUAACUGAAUGACUUUGUGCUGUUUCAGGAUGUUUGCUCUGAAGAAAAACAGAAAGCUUAUCUGAAAUUUGUAAAGUAAAACUUUUUGUUUUGCUACAUAGAAAAUAAGAUAUUUAAAUAAUAAGCUUAAUGAGCACAGCUAUAUCAAUUUUGAUUAGAAAGUCAUCAAACUGGCUUUGGGACAGUUAAUAUAAAAGAUUGGAGGAGCAAGGUCUAGACCAUUUACUUCAGCUAACAUAACUUAAAAAGAGCUUCAUAGGCCAUAACCAUAUGAACCCAGCUUUUGUAAUCUGACAGAAAAAUGAGAAGUAGCCUCGUGUAUAUCAAUGUACACAAUAUUCCUUAGGUUCCUUCCGUUGAUAGUGAUGCUGCCAGUUAUUACUGGAAGAAAGGAAUUCUAGAGCUUUAACUUGUUAGAUUAAAAAUACUCAUGUUUUAUUCAUCAAUAAUCAGUAAUCUCACUAGUUUUCAAAACUUUGCUUAUUAUUGACAACCUCUUUGAGGAUCAGUUUUACAAACUCAACAGAGUGCCAUGUUAAGAGCUAGGGAACCCCCAAACUAUCUGAAGCAUUUAAAAAAUUGCCAUUUUUAAAGCCGUGAAUUGUUAAUGUUUAUAUAUAUAAAUGUCAUUGACCUUUCUUG